rnacentral:rRNA from 1 species
GACGGGUGAGUAACGCGUGAGAAUCUACCUACAGGACGGGGACAACAGUUGGAAACGACUGCUAAUACCCGAUGUGCCGAGAGGUGAAACAUUUAUGGCCUGUAGAUGAGCUCGCGUCUGAUUAGCUAGUUGGUGGGGUAAGAGCCUACCAAGGCGACGAUCAGUAGCUGGUCUGAGAGGAUGAUCAGCCACACUGGGACUGAGACACGGCCCAGACUCCUACGGGAGGCAGCAGUGGGGAAUUUUCCGCAAUGGGCGCAAGCCUGACGGAGCAACGCCGCGUGGGGGAGGAAGGUUUUUGGACUGUAAACCCCUUUUCUCAGGGAAGAAGAAAGUGACGGUACCUGAGGAAUAAGCCUCGGCUAAUUCCGUGCCAGCAGCCGCGGUAAUACGGGAGAGGCAAGCGUUAUCCGGAAUUAUUGGGCGUAAAGCGUCCGCAGGCGGUUAAUCAAGUCUGUUGUCAAAGCGUGGGGCUUAACCCCAUAAAGGCAAUGGAAACUGAUUGACUAGAGUAUGGUAGGGGUAGCGGGAAUUCCAGGUGUAGCGGUGAAAUGCGUAGAUAUCUGGAAGAACACCAGCGGCGAAGGCGCGCUACUG